rnacentral:rRNA from 1 species
AACGAACGCUGGCGGCAUGCCUAACACAUGCAAGUCGAACGAGACCUUCGGGUUUAGUGGCGGACGGGUGCGUAACGCGUGGGAACCUGCCCUUAGGUUCGGAAUAACUCACCGAAAGGGGUGCUAAUACCGGAUAAUGUCUUCGGACCAAAGAUUUAUCGCCAUUGGAUGGGCCCGCGUUUGAUUAGCUAGUUGGUAGGGUAAAGGCCUACCAAGGCGACGAUCAAUAGCUGGUCUGAGAGGAUGACCAGCCACACUGGGACUGAGACACGGCCCAGACUCCUACGGGAGGCAGCAGUGGGGAAUAUUGUGCAAUGGGCGAAAGCCUGAUCCAGCCAUGCCGCGUGAGUGAUGAAGGCCUUAGGAUUGUAAAGCUCUUUUACCCGGGAUGAUAAUGACGGUACCGGGAGAAGAAGCUCCGGCUAACUCCGUG